rnacentral:rRNA from 1 species
UUAAAUUGAAGAGUUUGAUCAUGGCUCAGAUUGAACGCUGGCGGCAGGCCUAACACAUGCAAGUCGAACGGUAACAGAAAGCAGCUUGCUGCUUUGCUGACGAGUGGCGGACGGGUGAGUAAUGUCUGGGAAACUGCCCGAUGGAGGGGGAUAACUACUGGAAACGGUAGCUAAUACCGCAUAACGUCGCAAGACCAAAGAGGGGGACCUUCGGGC